rnacentral:rRNA from 1 species
GACGAACGCUGGCGGCGUGCUUAACACAUGCAAGUCGAACGGAAAGGCCCUGCUUGCAGGGUACUCGAGUGGCGAACGGGUGAGUAACACGUGGGUGAUCUGCCCUGCACUUCGGGAUAAGCCUGGGAAACUGGGUCUAAUACCGGAUAGGAGCCAUUUUUAGUGUGAUGGUUGGAAAGUUUUUUCGGUGUAGGAUGAGCUCGCGGCCUAUCAGCUUGUUGGUGGGGUAAUGGCCUACCAAGGCGGCGGCGGGUAGCCGGCCUGAGAGAGUGGACGGCCACAUUGGGACUGAGAUACGGCCCAGACUCCUACGGGAGGCAUCAGUGGGGAAUAUUGCACAAUGGGCGCAAGCCUGAUGCAGCGACGCCGCGUGGGGGAUGACGGCCUUCGGGUUGAAAACUCCUUUCGCUAGGGACGAAGCUUUUUGUGACGGUACCUAGAUAAGAAGCACCGGCUAACUACGUG